CAAACUAAUACAGCAUAUAAGUGAUCCAUGCAAACAGAAUCCCUCUGGGAUAGAAUUCACUGCAGCAUACAUCUGCCAUCAAGCUUAAUAUCUGUAUCAUGGUAUCUUUUCUGCUCCCAAGGCUCACUUUUUUCAUAACUUUUUUUUGUGUUGAGGCUGGUUCACCAUAAAAAGAACAACUGCUCUUUGUCAGCCUUAAUCUUUUCAAGGUGAUUUAGAUUGUUUGUUUUUUGUUGAAAGAGCAUAAGGGACAAAUAACUGUCCCAUAUACCCGGGGACCUGUUUGGUUUUUUUUUUUCUUUUUCCUGUCCUUUCUAUUCCUGACUGGGUUUUCUCUGUGCAGCCCUGGUGAGGAAUCUCUGCACCUUCAGAACUGAGCAGAGCUUUGCUUCCACAAGCACAGUGUAGGUCAAGACUCUAUGUGGCUCAUUUGUGGAUGAUAAUGAGAUCUUCAAGCAUUUAAUGGGACUUGUAGAUAAUUUCAGGUACCAAAGAAAGUCACUUGCUCAGGCUGUCAAAAUGGAUCCAGUUAAUACCAGUUGCACAGGUGAAUAUUAUCUACAGUACCACACCAACAUCUAUUUCACAAGGAAAGAACUGAUGACAGUGAUUCAUUUUAUAUGUCAGUAAGUAAUCAUUUGAUCAUAACCAUUAUCAUCAUUGUAAAUGGUAACUUUUAAUCAACAGCAAUAAAUCUAUUGCUCCACUUGAGUUGAGAAUCAGUAGAUAGCAAUUUCCAUUCUGUUAUCAACCACAGUAGUGGUACUGUGUUAUUAAAUAGACAGUAUUUUUUUUCACUGACUGAAAGAACGAAAUGUAUGUGUAUAAUAUCAAAGCUAAGACCCACCAUUAUCCUUGAUUUCAUCAUGCCUGGUGCCUGUAUUGCAGGGGAUGUGGUUCUACCACAAAGCUUCUGAGAAGUCUGGAUCAUGAGAUUUGUGAAUUGUUAGUGCUGAGCAUUGCACAGGAUUAUGAAAAGACCACAGUUUCAAUUGCAGCAUUUGUAUAGUUUUGGUCAUGUACAGUCUAUGUUAAGUUUUAGAGAAAGCUAUGUGAAGAAAACCUUGUUUGUACAGAUAUGACUAACAUAUUAAAAGCAUUAUUUUAAAGUAAGUUUUAUCUUGGCAGAGUGUAAAAUAAUAUAUCUUUAUCACAAGGGAGAUUUCAGAAAAUAUAUUUGGUUAAUGCCCUGGUUACAUUAUAGAAAUUUACUGCAAAUGGUUGGUGUGCAAAAAGAAACCGAAACAGAAAAAACAGAUCGUAAGUUUGAAAUUAUGUGUAAUAUUUUGUGAUGAAUACUGAUUAGUUACUCUUAAACCAUUUCUUCAAUCAGGUAGGUUUUUUUUAUUUGAUUUGAUUUUCAACUUCUUAUAAACUGGUAGAACAAUAUCAUUACCAUCCCUGUCGCACAGAUAAUACAAUUCCUGUUUCCUCAGAAGUAUCUAGAUUUCUGUGUAUUUGUCAGGGUUCAUAUAUCACUGCAGCUCCUGUAAAAAACCAAAUUAUUUAUUGACUUUUCUUUAUGGUGCAAGAGGGAACACAUGCCUACAUUCUGAAUAAAACUCCUGCUUACUAAACCAAACUAUGGAAAAGGAGAGUCUUAGUCCAUCCCUUGUCAUUUUGUUUUUUGGACAGCACAUAUUUUUGAUAAUCCUACUGUUCAGACAGUAAAUAUUUAACUGCAUCUUUUUAAUUUAUAACUGAUGUAACCUGUUGAAAACCAGAGCUCUUUCUGGGAAGCGUCUCUUCAGAACUUUUGUAGAUACACUCAGAUAGAUAUGCUCAGCUCUAGUGAAACUAUGGUUUUGGCUGUGAUUCCUCCAGAUGACCAUUAGCAAAAGGCAAAAAGUGCCCAGCAGAAAUUUUGCUCUAUAUGUGGGUAUGAUGUGCUAUCAUUUUAUGAUUAGGUCCUCACAUAAGCAGAUUUUAAAAGGCGAUGAUCUAGUUUGCUCCAGGUUAGAGCUGGAAGUCAUUUUGGCAAUUGAAUAUAGGAAAGUUAGCAUUUGCUUUGAGGGCAUCUUCUGAUCUAGCUUUCUGCCAUGGUAGCCAUAUUAUGUCCUGCUUUACUUUCUUAUUCUCCCUACAUGAAGGGGUAGAUUAAUCCAUGAAUUCUUAUUUUCUUUGUCACUGGACUGGGCUUAUGCCCAUUACAGUUCAAGGAUUUUUCAUCUUGUCAGCUGAGUCAUCACUUUUCCAAGUUUGCUCUACUGAUUUCCUUUGUAGACUUUGAAUAUUCAAUCUGUUAGACAUUUAAAAUUGAAUGAUGCCAGGAAACUGAAAUAGGUUUAACAAUAAUCUUGUUCUUUGUGUCAUCUUCCAUCUCAAGGCAGUAAGCCUCUGUUUUCCACCCUAAAUGCUUAUUCGAUACUCAUCUUUUCAUUUUCUGGCUAAGGGUCCAAGCUGGAGGCAUCUAUGACAUUGGGAGAUUUUAAUCAUGAACUAGUAAAUCAAUUUAUCCAUAGGAGGAACAAUCUAUAAUGUUUAGAGGCUUUCAAAAAACUGCAUUUAACAGAUUGGAUCAGUUUGACUGUCUCUGAAGGCAAAUCUGUACAUCUUUCAAUACCAUUUCCACUACAUUUGCUAGUCCUAUUACUUUAAGCCUGCCAUUAUAUUUUAGUUCUCUAAACAUUACCACAAGACAGACAUAUGUCCUGUAUCAUAUCCACUAGGACAUUUUCAAAGGUUUAACAAUCAGCUGAUUGUUUCUGGUUUUACUGGAGUAAUUGUUUCAUUUUACCUCUCCUUCCAUUAUAAAAUUUUAUGUGUUCUACAAUACCUUUGGUAGCUUUGAUGUACAAGCAGUUUUAGUAGUCUUCUGUAAUUUCAUGGUCUUCUAUAACUCCUGUUCUUCUCAACAAAGUUCUUCAAAGGGAGCAAAUUUGAUUGCCACAGAUAAAAGAGCAUAGGAAAAAGGAGGGAUGGAGAGAACAAACUGUAAUCCUAAUCUGUGAUCUCAUAUGUGAUAAUUUAGUGUACCAUUCAAUUGCUGCCAAGUCAACUUUCACAUGGAAUGUGAAAUGCUUUAAAUUUCCAAAUUUAUAAAGGAUCUGUAGACUUAAAUUCAUUCCAGAAACUUAAAGUUAACUGCAUUGCAAGCAAAAUGGAGGAAAAACUUGCACAUCAGCAGGGUGAAGGAAAUAGGCUGUGCACUUUCUGUCUGAUCAGGCUUCUCAUAGCUGACACUAACCCUUGUAAAACCAUAUUAUAACUGUUGUACUUGAGUGGUAUGAAGAUAAAUGAAGCCUAUCAUUAGCCUAUAAUUCUUCUCUCUGGUAAAUCAGAAAGUAGCUAACAACCCUCUAUCUACCAGAUUUAGUGAUAAGAAGUAGACAGAACAUUGACCAAAUAAAAAUAAAUAGGUGAACUUAAUUUAGCUGUGUAAAACUUUGACUACACUAUUAACUCUAUUUUUCAGACCCUUGUCUAAGUCUGCUUUUUCCAUACUGGCAUUUGCUAAGAAAACCUGCUACAAACCCUACCAAUAUACUACAAGGGUACUUGUGUUCUUGAAAUCACAAGGCUGCAUGUAGCCCUCAGUUCUCUUCUCAGAGAGAAAUGGAUUCUACAAGGCUGAGAAUAUUUUAAACUCUAAGACUCGAGUGAAGGUCAAGGAGCCAGGUGUUUUGUGUCAAACAGCUAUAUGCAGAGUUGAGUCUUCUGGAAGCACAGAGUCUAAUCACUCUGAGGACAGGUACCUAUAGCAUCAGCAGAGCAUGAUCAGCCUCCCAGUUACCUGAAGGAGAUCCCCUCCAUCAGCAGCCCAUCAGUCUAAACAUCCAUUUCUGUGAUUCUACAUCAAAUUUGAUAAGAUUCGUUGUCACAGUAAGUAGACAAACACCUGUCACUGUUGACCCUCCCAUAAGAGGCAAAGGACUGGAGCAACACAUCUCAACUGAAUUAUUUAGAGUUAACUAGCAUCUCAUUAAGAAUCAUUACAGAACAUAGCUCUAUGAUGAGUGAUUCAUGUGUUUUUGUUAGUGCCUUGGUAAAUAAUGUCCUACAGAGUAAGAAACUGGAUUAAAGGACCACUUGCCAUUCUUUGACUUCCUCUUCUGUGUUUCUAGGUUUGUAAAUCUGUACUUAUUUAUACUGUUUUAAACCUGUAUCUCUACUGCUUUAGUAGCAGUGAAUAUGCCCUCAGGUUCCCAAGGCUUGUGGCAUGCAAACAGUGAGUUCCAACACAGACCAACCAAUUGCAUCCACAUUAUACUUUGGUGGGGUGUUUGUAGGUUUUCAUUGCAGAAUUCGGUAAUCCGCUUACUAAUCCCAACCUGCCUGCCUGCCUCAUGCACACCUUAGGACCAUGAAGCACAGUGGAAAGAAGAGAGCCUCUCCUCUAUGGUUACUCUGGGUUGGCCAGCAAGAAAGCUAAGACCUGCAAUAAAGAAUCUUCCCUCAUGGCUAUCUAUGCCUCCAAUGAAAGAACUAGGCAAACCAAUAUUGGUGGAUAAAUUCCUUCUCCCACUAAUACAUUUCACCAGGGAGGAUUUUGAAGAUGACACCAAGCCGAGUGAUGUGGCUGACGUGCCUGAGGGAUGGGAUGCCAAGCAGAGGGACCUGGACAAGUUCAAGAAGGAUUAACAUGAGGCUCAAUAAGGCCAAGUGGGAGGUUCUACAUCUGGGCCAGGAAAACACCUUGUAUCAAUACAGGCUGGGUGCAGAAAUAGUUGAGAGCAGCAGUGCAGAGAAGGACUUGGGGGUGUUGGUUGACAACAAUCUCAACAUGACCUGGCAGUGUGCACUUGCAGCCCAGAAGGGCAACCAUAUACUGGGCUGCAUGAAAAGAAGUGUGGCCAGCAGGUCAAGAGAGGUGAUUCUACCCCUCUGCUCUGGUGAUACUGCAGAUACCUGGAGUACUGCAUCCAGUUCUGGAAUCCUCAGUACAGGAAAGACAUGGACGUGUUGGAGCAGGUCCAGAGAAGGGCUACAAAAAUGAUCAGAGGGCUGGAGCACUUCUAUGAGGAAAAGCUGUGAGAGUUGGGGUUGUUCAGCCUGGAGAAGAGAAAGCUCCAGGGAGGCUGUAUUAAAUUCUUAAAGGGGGUUUAGAAAUAAGAUGGGGACAGACUUUUUAGUAGGGCCUGUUGCAAUAGGACAAGGGGUAGUGGUUUUAGACUAAAAAAGGGAAGAUUCAGACUAGAUGUAAGGAGGCAAUUUUUUAUGAUGAGUGUGGUGAGACACUGGUACAGGUUGUCCAGAAUGGUGCUAGGUGACCCAUCCCUGAAAGCAUUCAAGAUUCAGUUGGAUGUGGCUUUGAGCAACCUGAUCUCAUUGAAGAUGUCCCUACUCAUUGCAAGGGAGGCUGGACUAGAUGACCUUUAAAGGUCCUUUCCAAGACAAACUAUUUUAUGAUUCUAUGAAUCAUAACUUUUCCCUGCCUUGAACAGAAAGCAGGUCAUUCUUCCUCCAG